CAAAGGAAAAAAUAUGUGUCCUUCCUUGUGAAAGGUCUUCAGGGACUGAGGGAGAAUACCUGGGGAAGGCGAGUGGCUGUGGUGCAGCUGCAGUCUGCCCAGAACCGGGGGAUUCUCAGACGUCCUUGUGGAGAGCUCAAGGUUUGAGUUUGCAGUCAGUGGAGCUGGAUGCAGCCACGGUGGGAAUAACGAGAAGUUUGCAUGGCCGUGUGGACACCUGCAGUGCCAGUCCUGAGGUGGGAUCGCAGCCCCACAGCAACCCAGAUAAGCAAAGACAAAAUGUGCUCCUCUUAACAAUUCCUGUAACUCGGGGAUUCAGAGAUUUAAUAGAUGCACUGAACCCCUCUCCCUCCCAGAACUGGGUCCGGUUGAGAC